UAGGGAAUAUUGGGCAAUGGAUGCAAGUCUGACCCAGCCAUGCCGCGUGGAGGAAGAAGGUCCUCUGGAUUGUAAACUCCUUUUUUGGGGGAAGAAGAGACACCUUGCGAGGUGUUGUGACGGUACCCUAAGAAUAAGCCACGGCUAACUACGUGCCAGCAGCCGCGGUAAUACGUAGGUGGCAAGCGUUGUCCGGAUUUAUUGGGUUUAAAGGGUGCGUAGGUGGUUUAAUAAGUCAGUGGUGAAAGCUGGUUGCUCAACAAUCAAGUUGCCAUUGAUACUGUUAGACUUGAGAGAAGUGGAGGCUGGUGGAAUGGAUGGUGUAGCGGUGAAAUGCAUAGAUAUCAUCCAGAACGUCAAUUGCGAAGGCAGCUGGCUGUACUUUUUCUGACACUGAGGCACGAAAGUGUGGGGAUCAAACAGG
rnacentral:rRNA from 1 species